rnacentral:lncRNA from 10 species
GGAAAGACUACCAAUGGAGUGACAUCAGAGCUCCAGGUUCUCCAGCCUUCGGACUUCAGGUUUGCAGCCCAGUUUCUCAGGCUUUUGGCCUUGGACUGAGAAUUUCACCAUUAAUUCACUCCCUUGGUCCCUCAGGCCUUCAGACUUGGACUGAAUUAUCCCAUCAGGCUCCUGGUUUUCCAGUGUGCAGAGGGCCCAUCCUGGAACUUUCUCAGCCUCCACGAUGCCAUGAGUCAAUUCGCAUAAUAAAUCCCCUCUUGUACAUCUCUGUGUAUACUAUUGGUUCUGUUUCUCUGGAGAACCCUGACUAAUAAAU